CUUGCUGGUAUGACCCAGCUCAUCCGAAAUUUAUUAGCUGGUUUGAAUAUCAUGGAUCUUCCACUUGGCGUGAUAAGUAUCACCCGCUGAGGACUUGUCCAGAUAAUAUUGACCGCUUCCAAAAAAUAAAAAUAAUAUUAUUAUUAUUUUUUUCUGAAUCAUUUGACCUCAAAUCAGGUAGGACUACCCGCUGAACUUAA
rnacentral:misc_RNA from 1 species